AGCGAACGCUGGCGGCAGGCCUAACACAUGCAAGUCGAGCGCCCAGCAAUGGGAGCGGCAGACGGGAGAGUAACACGUGGGAACGUGCCCUUUGGUUCGGAAUAACUCAGGGAAACUUGAGCUAAUACCGGAUAAGCCCUUACGGGGAAAGAUUUAUCGCCAAAGGAGCGGCCCGCGUCCGAUUAGCUAGUUGGUGAGGUAAUGGCUCACCAAGGCGACGAUCGGUAGCUGGUCNGAGAGGAUGACCAGCCUCACUGGGACUGAGACACGGCCCAGACUCCUACGGGAGGCAGCAGUGGGGAAUAUUGGACAAUGGGCGCAAGCCUGAUCCAGCCAUGCCGCGUGGAUGAUGAAGCCUUAGGGUUGUAACCUCUGUCACCGGGGAAGAAACGCUUACAAGUUAAUAGUUUGAAGCCUGACUUAACCCCGGAGAGGAAGCAGUGGCUAACUCUGUGCCAGCCGCCGC
rnacentral:rRNA from 1 species